CUUCAAUAAUAUUCAGGAUACCAAGUCUCAUCAUAAGCACUUUUGUCUUUAAAUUAUAUGUAAAAUUAGCUUUUAACAAUUAAUUAACCUUAACAUUUUCAUUAAGUAGAUUAUAAAUUCAGCAAUCAAAUCAGAACGUUAGAGGUGAAAAAGAAAAAAUAAUAUCUUCAAUAAUAUUCGGAUACCAAGUCUCAUCAUACAAUUCCGUCUUUAAAUCAUAUGUAAAACUACUGUUUCUAACAAUUAAUUAAUGUUAACAUCUUUGCAUUAAAUAGAUUCUAAAUUCAGC